GGUUAACGCUAGCGGCGUGCCUAACACAUGCAAGUCGAACGGUUCUAAGCGCGAGCUUAGGAUAGUGGCGAACGGGUGAGUAAAAGGUAGGAAUCUACCCCUUGGACGGAGAUAGCUACUGGAAACGGUAGGUAAACUUCGAUAAGCCCGAGAGGGGAAAGUGGUGAGACAGCCGAGGGAUGAGCCUACUCUCCAUCAGGUAGUUGGUGAGAUAAAAGCUUACCAAGCCGAUGACGGAUAACCGGUGUGAGAGCAUGAACGGUCACAAGGGCACUGAGAGACGGGCCCUACUCCUACGGGAGGCAGCAGUGGGGAACCUUGGACAAUGGGCGAAAGCCUGAUCCAGCGACGCCGCGUGGAGGAAGAAGUCCUUCGGGAUGUAAACUUCUGAACUAGCCGAAUAAAAGGCCUGUGGACACACAGGAGAAGAAAGUAGGCUAGGAAAAGUCCCGGCUAACUACGUG
rnacentral:rRNA from 1 species